AUUCCCAGUCUUACCUGGAGCUGGCAUUGACCUGCCAGGCCUUGAGUCUUGUAAGAAGGAGGUUAGAAUUCCAGGUGUAGGCGGUGAAUGCGUAGAGGAUUCUGGAGGACUCCGGUUGGGCGGAAGGGACGUCCUCUCUUGUAUCUAAAGACCUGACGGUCAAGGUGCGAAAGCCGUGGGGGGAGGCAACAGGGAUUUAGAUACCUGGGUAGUCACCGCGUUAAACGAUAGUCGAUCUUGGAUGGUUGGUUGUCCUUUCGACGCAGUGGCUUCCGGAGCUAAACGCGUUAAGUACGACCGCUGGGGGAGUACGGUCCGCAAGGUUAAAACUCAAAUGAAUUGACGGGGGCCCGCACAAGCGGUGGAGCAUGUGGUUUAAUUCGAUGCAACGCGAAGAACCUUACCUACUCUUGACAUCCAGCGAACUUGGCAGAGAUGCCUUGGUGCCUUCGGGAACCGUGAGACAGGUGGUGCAUGGCUGUCGUCAGCUCGUGUUGUGAAAUGUUGGGUUAAGUCCCGCAACGAGCGCAACCCUUAUCCUUUGUUGCCAGCGAUUCGGUCGGGAACUCAAAGGAGACUGCCGGUGAUAAACCGGAGGAAGGUGGGGAUGACGUCAAGUCAUCAUGGCCCUUACGAGUAGGGCUACCCACGUGCUACAAUGGCGCAUACAAAGAGAAGCGACCUCGCGAGAGCAAGCGGACCUCACAAAAUGCGUUGUAGUCCGGAUCGGAGUUUGCAACUCGACUCCGUGAAGUCGGAAUCGCUUGUAAUCGUGGAUCAGAAUGCCCCGGUGAAUACGUUCCCGGGCCUUGUACACCCCCCCCGUCACCCCAUGGGAGUGGGUUGCACAAAGAAGUAGUGUAGCUUAACCUACGGGAGGGCGCUACUCAAGGUGGAUUCCGG
rnacentral:rRNA from 1 species